AUUCUCUUUAGAUUUCAUAUGAAUGGCCUUCCAAAUUGAAAAUCUCUAACUCCGUUGGAGCAAUGCACGUCCAACGUGAAGUUUUAAGAGAAUGCACUUUUAAAGAAGGCGUAUGUAGCUGGAUGAAAGUCAAAAAGAAAAAUAAUUACUGGAACAAAAACAAACAAGAUGGCGUCGACUUCACAAUGAUCGAUACCGUAUUUUCAUCCACUUUUGAAACCGAUGUGUU